UACGGGGGGGGCAAGCGUUGUUCGGAAUUACUGGGCGUAAAGGGCGCGUAGGCGGCGCGACAAGUCACUUGUGAAAUCUCUGGGCUCAACCCAGAACGGUCAAGUGAUACUGUCGUGCUAGAGUGCGGAAGGGGCAACUGGAAUUCUUGGUGUAGCGGUGAAAUGCGUAGAUAUCAAGAGGAACACCUGCGGUGUAGACGGCUUACUGGACCAUAACUGACGCUGAGGCACGAAAGCGUGGGUAGCAAACAGG
rnacentral:rRNA from 1 species